rnacentral:rRNA from 1 species
CCCCUAGAUGUUCUGGGCCGCACGCGCGCUACACUGAACAGUUCAACAAGUCUUAACCUUGGCCGAUAGGUCUGGGUAAUCUUUGAACGCUGUUCGUGAUUGGGAUAGACCUUUGCAAUUAUGGGUCUUCAACGAGGAAUUCCUAGUAAACGCAAGUCAUCAGCUUGCAUUGAUUACGUCCCUGCCCUUUGUACACACCGCCCGUCGCACCUACCGAUUGAAUGGUUUAGUGAGAACUCGGGACUGGCACUAAGGGGCUGGCAACAGCCUAUUAGAGCCGGGAACUUGCUCAAACUUGAUCAUUUAGAGGAAGUAAAAGUCGUAACA